GGCAUGCCUGUUCGAGCGUCAUUAGACCAUAUCGCGCAAGCGGUCUUGGGGCUUGCGAUCUCGCAUCCCUUAAAAACAGUGGCGGUGCAUAGGGCUCUCAGCGUAGUAAAACCCCGCUGUUGAGUGCUGGAAACACCCGCCAGAACCCCCAACUUUCUUAGGUUGACCUCGGAUCAGGUAGGGAUACCCGCUGAACUUAA
rnacentral:misc_RNA from 1 species